UACGUAGGUGGCAAGCGUUGUCCGGAAUUAUUGGGCGUAAAGCGCGCGCAGGCGGUUCUUUAAGUCCGAUGUGAAAGCUCACGGCUCAACCGUGGAGGGUCAUUGGAAACUGGGGAACUUGAGUACAGAAGAGGAAAGCGGAAUUCCACGUGUAGCGGUGAAAUGCGUAGAGAUGUGGAGGAACACCAGUGGCGAAGGCGGCUUUCUGGUCUGUAACUGACGCUGAGGCGCGAAAGCGUGGGGAGCAAACAGG
rnacentral:rRNA from 1 species